AGCGAACGCUGGCGGCAGGCUUAACACAUGCAAGUCGAGCGGGCAUCUUCGGAUGUCAGCGGCAGACGGGUGAGUAACACGUGGGAACGUACCCUUCGGUUCGGAACAACUCUGGGAAACUGGAGCUAAUACCGGAUACGCCCUUAUGGGGAAAGGUUUACUGCCGCAGGAUCGGCCCGCGUCUGAUUAGCUAGUUGGUGGGGUAACGGCCUACCAAGGCGACGAUCAGUAGCUGGUCUGAGAGGAUGAUCAGCCACACUGGGACUGAGACACGGCCCAGACUCCUACGGGAGGCAGCAGUGGGGAAUAUUGGACAAUGGGCGCAAGCCUGAUCCAGCCAUGCCGCGUGAGUGAUGAAGGCCUUAGGGUUGUAAAGCUCUUUUGUCCGGGACGAUAAUGACGGUACCGGAAGAAUAAGCCCCGGCUUACUUCGUA
rnacentral:rRNA from 1 species